UACGGAGGGUGCUAGCGUUGCCCGGAAUUACUGGGCGUAAAGCGCACGUAGGCGGCUUCUUAAGUCGGUGGUGAAAUCCUGGAGCUCAACUCCAGAACUGCCUUCGAUACUGGGAAGCUCGAGUCCGGGAGAGGUGAGUGGAACUGCGAGUGUAGAGGUGAAAUUCGUAGAUAUUAGGAAGAACACCGGUGGCGAAGGCGGCCCACUGGAUCGGUACUGACGCUGAGGUGCGAAAGCGUGGGGAGCAAACAGG
rnacentral:rRNA from 1 species